GGGGUCGAUGACAGAGGUGUGGUAUUGGUUAAGGGUGUGGUAUUGGUUAAGGGGUGGAUGGUAGAGGUGUGGUAUUGGUUAAGGGUGUGGUAUUGGUUAAGGGGUGGAUGGUAGAGGUGUGGUAUUGGUUAAGGGUCGAUGCCAGAGGUGUGGUAUUGGUUAAGGGUGGAUGACAGAGGUGUGGUAUUGGUUAAGGGUGGAUGACAGAGGUGUGGUAUUGGUUAAGGGUGGAUGGUAGAGGUGUGGUAUUGGUUAAGGGUGGAUGGUAGAGGUGUGGUAUUGGUUAAGGGUGGAUGACAGAGGUGUGGUAUUGGUUAAGGGUGGAUGACAGAGGUGUGGUAUUGGUUAAGGGUGGAUGACAGAGGUGUGGUAUUGGUUAAGGGUGGAUGACAGAGGUGUGGUAUUGGUUAAGGGUGGAUGACAGAGGUGUGGUAUUGGUUAAGGGUCGAUGACAGAGGUGUGGUAUUGGUUAAGGGUGGAUGACAGAGGUGUGGUAUUGGUUAAGGGUGGAUGACAGAGGUGUGGUAUUGGUUAAGGGUGGAUGGUAGAGGUGUGGUAUUGGUUAAGGGUCGAUGACAGAGGUGUGGUAUUGGUUAAGGGUGGAUGACAGAGGUGUGGUAUUGGUUAAGGGUGGAUGACAGAGGUGUGGUAUUGGUUAAGGGUGGAUGGUAGAGGUGUGGUAUUGGUUAAGGGUGGAUGGUAGAGGUGUGGUAUUGGUUAAGGGUGGAUGACAGAGGUGUGGUAUUGGUUAAGGGUGGAUGACAGAGGUGUGGUAUUGGUUAAGGGUGGAUGACAGAGGUGUGGUAUUGGUUAAGGGUGGAUGACAGAGGUGUGGUAUUGGUUAAGGGUGGAUGACAGAGGUGUGGUAUUGGUUAAGGGUGGAUGACAGAGGUGUGGUAUUGGUUAAGGGUGGAUGGUAGAGGUGUGGUAUUGGUUAAGGGUGGAUGGUAGAGGUGUGGUAUUGGUUAAGGGUGGAUGACAGAGGUGUGGUAUUGGUUAAGGGUCGAUGACAGAGGUGUGGUAUUGGUUAAGGGUGGAUGACAGAGGUGUGGUAUUGGUUAAGGGUCGAUGACAGAGGUGUGGUAUUGGUUAAGGGUGGAUGACAGAGGUGUGGUAUUGGUUAAGGGUGGAUGGUAGAGGUGUGGUAUUGGUUAAGGGUGGAUGACAGAGGUGUGGUAUUGGUUAAGGGUGGAUUGUAGAGGUGUGGUAUUGGUUAAGGGUCGAUGGUAGAGGUGUGGUAUUGGUUAAGGGUCGAUGGUAGAGGUGUGGUAUUGAAUAAGGGUGUGGUAUUGGUUAAGGCUGUGGUAUUGGUUCAGGGUGUGGUAUUGGUUAAGGGUGUGGUAUUGGUUCAGGGUGUGGUAUUGGUUCAGGGUGUGGUAUUGGAUAAGGGUGUGGUAUUGGUUAAGGGUGUGGUAUUGGUUAAGGGUGUGGUAUUGGUUCAGGGUGUGGUAUUGGUUAAGGGUGUGGUAUUGGUUAAGGGUGUGGUAUUGAAUAAGGGUGUGGUAUUGAAUAGGGGUGUGGUAUUGGUUAAGGGUGUGGUAUUGGUUCAGGGUGUGGUAUUGGUUCAGGGUGUGGUAUUGGUUCAGGGUGUGGUAUUGGUUAAGGGUGUGGUAUUGGUUCAGGGUGUGGUAUUGAAUAAGGGUGUGGUAUUGGUUCAG